rnacentral:rRNA from 1 species
GACGGAGGAUGCAAGUGUUAUCCGGAAUCACUGGGCUUAAAGCGUCUGUAGGUGGUCAAAUAAGUCAACUGUUAAAUCUUGAGGCUCAACCUCAAAAUCGCAGUCGAAACUAUUAGACUAGAGUAUAGUAGGGGUAAAGGGAAUUUCCAGUGGAGCGGUGAAAUGCGUAGAGAUUGGAAAGAACACCGAUGGCGAAGGCACUUUACUGGGCUAUUACUAACACUCAGAGACGAAAGCUAGGGUAGCAAAUGGG